rnacentral:tRNA from 1 species
GCGCGAGUGGCGGAAUUUGGCAGACGCGCAGGAUUCAGGUUCCUGUGUCCGGAAGGACGUGGGGGUUCAAGUCCCCCCUCGCGCA